CAGUCGAACGAAGAUACUUAAAAUGAGAGCUUCGGCAGGAUUUUUAUUUAUCUUACUGUCGGACGGGUGAGUAACGUGUGGGCAACCUGCCCUAUACUGGGGAAUAAUCACUGGAAACGGUGACUAAUACCGCAUGUCAUUACGGAAGGGCAUCCUUCUGUAAGAAAAGGAGUAAUUCGGUAUAGGAUGGGCCCGCAUCUGAUUAGCUAGUUGGUGAGAUAACAGCCCACCAAGGCGACGAUCAGUAGCCGACCUGAGAGGGUGAUCGGCCACAUUGGGACUGAGACACGGCCCAAACUCCUACGGGAGGCAGCAGUGGGGAAUAUUGCACAAUGGGGGAAACCCUGAUGCAGCAACGCCGCGUGAAGGAAGAAGGUUUUCGGAUCGUAAACUUCUAUCAACAGGGACGAAGAAAGUGACGGUACCUGAAUAAGAAGCCCCGGCUAACUACGUGCCAGCAGCCGCGGUAAUACGUAGGGGGCAAGCGUUAUCCGGAAUUACUGGGUGUAAAGGGAGCGUAGGCGGCACGCCAAGCCAGAUGUGAAAGCCCGAGGCUUAACCUCGCGGAUUGCAUUUGGAACUGGCGAGCUAGAGUACAGGAGAGGAAAGCGGAAUUCCUAGUGUAGCGGUGAAAUGCGUAGAUAUUAGGAAGAACACCAGUGGCGAAGGCGGCUUUCUGAACUGAAACUGACGCUGAGGCUCGAAAGCGUGGGGAGCAAACAGGAUUAGAUACCCUGGUAGUCCACGCCGUANACGAUGAGUGCAAGGUGUCGGGGAGNAAUCCUCGGUGC
rnacentral:rRNA from 1 species